AGAAGCUUAGGUUAAACAUUAGACCAAGAGCCUUCAAAGCUCUAAGUAAAUGUAGUACAUUUAGCUCCUG
rnacentral:tRNA from 1 species